CAUAGCGACUAUCGUGGCAUAUCAAUAAGCGGAGGAAAAGAAAACUAACUAGGAUUCCCUCAGUAACGGCGAGUGAAGCGGGAAGAGCUCAAAUUUGAAAUCUUCAAGGUUCUACCUUGACGAAUUGUAGUUUAAAGAAGUGUUUUUCUGUUGGAGUUAGGUAAAAGUUCUUUGGAAUAGGACAUCAUAGAGGGUGAGAAUCCCGUAUUUGACCUAUUCUUUCCUAACUUUGUGAUACACUUUCAACGAGUCGGAUUGUUUGGGAAUGCAGUCCAAAAUGGGUGGUAAAUUUCAUCUAAAGCUAAAUACUUGGCGAGAGACCGAUAGCGAACGAGUACCGUGAGGGAAACGAUGAAAAGAACUUUGAAAAGAGAGUUAAACAGUACGUGAAAUUGUCAAAAGGGAAGCGUUUGACACCAGUGUUGUUUUUUCCGAAAAUCAAUUACGAAUGUUUUUAUUUUUUGAGGAGUUAUGACUUCAUCGGCUUGCUUCUUUCUUUACGAAACUUUCUUAAUGCACUUUUCGGUUAACAAGUCAACAUCAAUUUCUUUUGUUGUAAAAGGGUAUGAGGAAGGUGGCUUUCUUUUCGGAGAAAGUGUUUUAUAGCCUUGUACCUCUGCAAUCGGAGAGAUUGAGGUCUGCAGCGUAGAUCCUUCGGGGUUAGAUACAUUUGUGCUAAGUUAUAGCUUUUCAUAGACAACUUGUUGACUAUGUUUAGUCUUGUAGCUUACUCGCUUAUGCUAUUUUACCUACGCUUAGGAUGUUGAUAGUCACAGCGUGUAC
rnacentral:rRNA from 1 species